ACACGGGUUAAACCCCUCAAUUGUCUCUUUCUCACAUUCUCUCUCUCUCUCUCUCCCUCCUCCCUCCAUCUUCAAACCCUAACCCUCUCUCUCUAACCUCUCAAAAUCGGCCUCCAUCGUCCGACGCCGUCAUAGUGGAAGACCUGAGGGUGUGAAGCGAGCCAGAGACGAGGGGUUCUCUCUCUUUCACUCUCCUCACUAUUAUCUCUGUUCUCUGUCUCACAACCCAGAACCACCAUUGUUGGACUUUCAAAUCAGCCUUAGAUAUGGUCCAUUACGGCUGGAGUCAUUUGUACACCUCAAAGAUCAACGGCUCUCUCUCUCUCUCUCUCUCUCUCCCUCAAAUCUCAGUCGAUCUCCCCUACCGCCCGAUCGAGAAGCCGUCGCCGAUCUGAGGGUUUUUGGAUCUACUGGAUUUGUGGCAAAUCUGAAAUCUGAGGUCUCUUAAAUAGAUUACGGAUCUAAGGAGCUCUGGACCCGAGAACGACGUUGAUCUCCCUCUUCUGACGCCGCCGCCUCUCUCUCUCUCUCUCUCUCCUAAACACUAUUCUCAUUUUUGAACUCUGCGGUACCAUGAUCUCAUGUUGUUUUGUCCAAAUCACAAUUCUUGCUCUCUGCGGGAUCUUAUAAAUGCAAGCGAGGUAGUGGAUUAAGAGUUUUGCCUCUGCAAUUGAGCCUCCAACUAAGGUUUCACUAUGAUAAUGGCUCAGAUCUCUUCUGCGAGGUAUUCAUUUGUUAAUUUCUCGUCAUCUUCUUGGUGACGGAUCUUUGGUUGUUUUGAUGGAUCUUGGAGUAUCUGUGUGAAAAUUUGAGUAACAGAUCUUGGAGUAUCUCUGUGAAUUUUCCAUCUAGAUCUGUAAUGUGUGUGAAUAUGAUAUGAAAACAUGUGUUAUUGAUUAGUUUUUAUUUUAUUUUAAUUGUUUUGUUAUUGUUAUGAUGGUAAGAUCUAGAUGGAAUGCCAUUUGUUUGAUUGAAACUGAGCAAGUUCAAUAUUUUAGCUAAACAUUUUCAACGGAUCAUGUAUUUGUGCGUAACGGGAGUCCUGGUUCAACAGAUAAGAGAAAAAGUGGAUUUGGGAAAGAAGUCCAACAGAUCUGUAAAUUUCAACAUAUAAAAGAAAGGGUAAUGAUACAUCCCACUAAAUGUGGUGCUCUAAAGCACCACUAAUGAGUUGGCAAGAACUUUAACCAAAAAAAAAAAAAAAA